UCCCUUAUGGCUUGGCUGGUAAAGAAUCCACCUCCAAUGUGGGAGACCUGGGUUCAAUCCCUGGGUUUGGGAG
rfam:Ovis aries breed Texel chromosome 2, whole genome shotgun sequence.